AGCCCGAUCGCAAAGGAAGUGCGGCACACCCCAAAAAUAUGGAGAUUUUGCUUAGUUAAUUUUAUUUAGUAUUUAUAGUACUAUUUUACGUAUUUUAAUUUCCUUUGAGUCGACCCACACCAAAUGGUUGUUUGACCAUUAUGUUCACCAGCGUCCUCUAGAUUUCGUCUGAGCUCGGUCUGUUUGGAUAAGAUGGUUCAGAGUUCCAUGGAGGAUAACAACGAGACGUCCUCCGCCGCUGUGAAAUGCGCCCGCAACCGCUGCAUUGCUUUGACGACAAUAGCAAUGAUAGCUUCGACGGAAUUCCCUUAAAACAUUAUCCUGCAGGUCCUCCCCCACCAUUUCGAUGUCCUCUGCAUGGACCCGAUGUUCAGCGGGAAGGUGACAUGGAAGAAUUGGCCGUUUGUGUUCGACAAAGUGAGCAUUUGAAACGAGGAUUCCAGAAUCAACUCCGUCGAUUACUUCUUAGACAUUUUCAAAAUGGAAGGGUGCACGAUGGUGGAAAUGAGCUGUGCGGAGCAAGAUAGGUACGCCUCAGGGUCUCAGUUCUUCAGGUACACCAUGGGGAGGACGCUGGAGAAUUUGCAGCUCGAUAGCACUUCGAUCAACACCAAAGGGUACUAGAUGCUGUUGAAUUCGGUGGAGAACGCCGCCAGUGACAGUUUCAACCUAUACUAUGGGCUCUUUAUGUAUAACAAGAGUGCGAUGGAGCAGCUGGAGAGAUUGGAUUUGGCGCUUGAGGCGUUGAGGUUUGGGAAGUCCAAGGAGGGAGGUCAUCGGAGGCCGAUGCUGGCCAAUUUGCCGAAGAAUGGGAUCCCAUUUGUUUCCAACAAGAACAAUUAGGUUGCUUUGUGUUGUAUUAGGUAUGCUCCUGUCUUUUGAUCAUCGUAUAUUGAUGGGAUGGAUUCAAUACAUUGGGUAAGAGAUGAUUGAAA